rnacentral:rRNA from 1 species
AUGAAGCUGGUGUGGUGCCCGGAGACCGCGUCCCAGGCCUUCAUCGCCGGCGUCAGCGCCCUGUCAGACUCCGAGCACGGCCCCGCGGGGUCGGCUGGCGUCGCCGAGCUCGUCUCCGCCAUGGUCGGGGGAUGGAACGCGCAGCUCGUCGUCGACGCGCCCGAGGUCUCGGCCACCACGAGCCUCGCCCUCGCCGCCGCCGCCCAGCGCACGGGAGGCCGCUACGCCCGCGUGCUGGCGGACGCGGACCGGGCCAUGGAGGAGCUGGAGGGCGUGGACUUCUUGGUGGUCGACGCGCGGAGGCGGGACGCUGCGGCCGUGCUAGCGGCGGCCAGGCCCGGGGCGAGAGGGAUGGUGGUGGUGCGCCAUGGCGACGGGAGGCGGCGUGGCACGAAGGCGCUCGAAGCUUCCAUGGCGGCAGGAACGAGGAUCGUGCGGUCCGUGUACCUGCCGAUUGACACGGGUGUCGAGGUCCUCCACGUUGGGCUGGGCAAGGGGCCGAGCAUACAGUGCCGGCGCAGCCCGAGAGUGUCGAGCCGCUGGAUCCGGCACGUCGACCAGGAAACCGGCGAGGAGCACCUCUUCCGCCGGCAGUAA